rnacentral:rRNA from 1 species
GUAGGUGGCAAGCGUUGUCCGGAAUUAUUGGGCGUAAAGCGCGCGCAGGCGGUUCUUUAAGUCUGAUGUGAAAGCCCACGGCUCAACCGUGGAGGGUCAUUGGAAACUGGAGAACUUGAGUACAGAAGAGGAAAGCGGAAUUCCACGUGUAGCGGUGAAAUGCGUAGAGAUGUGGAGGAACACCAGUGGCGAAGGCGGCUUUCUGGUCUGCAACUGACGCUGAGGCGCGAAAGCGUGGGGGAGCAAACAGGAUUAGAUACCCUGGUAGUCCACGCCGUAAACGAUGAGUGCUAAGUGUUAGGGGGUUUUCCGCCCCUUAGUGCUGCAGCUAACGCAUUAAGCACUCCGCCUGGGAGUACGGCCGCAAGGCUG